AGCAGUAGCCGCGGUAAAACGGAGGGGGCUAGCGUUGUUCGGAAUUACUGGGCGUAAAGCGCACGUAGGCGGCUUUGUAAGUCAGAGGUGAAAGCCCGGGGCUCAACCCCGGAAUUGCCUUUGAGACUGCAUCGCUUGAAUCCAGGAGAGGUGAGUGGAAUUCCGAGUGUAGAGGUGAAAUUCGUAGAUAUUCGGAAGAACACCAGUGGCGAAGGCGGCUCACUGGACUGGUAUUGACGCUGAGGUGCGAAAGCGUGGGGAGCAACAGGAUUAGAGACCCGUGUAGUCCCUGUCUCUUAUACA
rnacentral:rRNA from 1 species